GGCUCUUUGCUUACAUAAAUAUAGAGAGUCGAGCCUGCCCAGUGAAUAUUUUAACGGCCGCGGUACUCUGACCGUGCAAAGGUAGCAUAAUCAUUUGCCUUAUAAUUGAAGGCUAGUAUGAAUGGUUUGACGAGAGCAACACUGUCUCCUUUUUAUUUUUGAGAAUUUAACUUUUAGGUGAAGAGGCCUAAAUUUUAUUGAAGGACAAGAAGACCCUGUCGAGCUUAAAAGAUAUUAUAGAAACUUAGUAUAUUUUUAAAUAAAUUUUCUACUAAGCUUUUUAGUUGGGGCGACUAAGGAACAAAAAAAGCUUCUUCUUAAUAAGAGACAGUUAUGUAUAGAUCCGAUAAUAGCGAUUAAAGGAAUUAGUUACCGCAGGGAUAACAGCAUAAUCUCUCUUAAGAGAUCUAAUCGAAAGAGGGGGUUGUGACCUCGAUGUUGGACUAGAAUAUCCUAAAGAUGCAGAAGUCUUUGAGGGUUGGUCUGUUCGACCAUUAAAAUUCU
rnacentral:rRNA from 1 species